rnacentral:rRNA from 1 species
GACGAACGCUGGCGGCGCGCUUAACACAUGCAAGUCGAGCGAUCGGCCAGGGGCUUGCCCCUGGUACGGAGCGGCGAACGGGUGAGUAACACGUGGGUGACCUGCCCUCGGUUCUGGGAUAACUCCGGGAAACCGGUGCUAAUACCAGAUGGCCUCCGCAGCUUUCGGGCAGCGGAGAAAAGGUAGCUUCGGCCUCCGACCGAGGAUGGGCCCGCGGCGGAUUAGCUUGUUGGUGGGGUAAAGGCCCACCAAGGCGACGAUCCGUAGCUGGUGUGAGAGCAUGACCAGCCACACUGGGACUGAGACACGGCCCAGACUCCUACGGGAGGCAGCAGUGGGGAAUCUUGCGCAAUGGGCGAAAGCCUGAUGCAGCGACGCCGCGUGAGGGAUGACGGCCUUCGGGUUGUAAACCUCUUUCAGCAGGGAAGAAGCGAAAGUGACGGUACCUGCAGAAGAAGCACCGGCUAACUACGUGCCAGCAGCCGCAGUAACAC